AGUGAACGCUGGCGGUAGGCCUAACACAUGCAAGUCGAACGGCAGCACAGUAAGAGCUUGCUCUUACGGGUGGCGAGUGGCGGACGGGUGAGGAAUACAUCGGAAUCUACUUUUUCGUGGGGGAUAACGUAGGGAAACUUACGCUAAUACCGCAUACGACCUACGGGUGAAAGCAGGGGAUCUUCGGACCUUGCGCGAUUGAAUGAGCCGAUGUCGGAUUAGCUAGUUGGCGGGGUAAAGGCCCACCAAGGCGACGAUCCGUAGCUGGUCUGAGAGGAUGAUCAGCCACGCUGGAACUGAGACACGGGCCAGACUCCUACGGGGGGCAGCAGUGGGGAAUAUUGGACAAUGGGCGCAAGGCUGAUCCAGCCAUACCGCGUGGGUGAAGAAGGCCUUCGGGUUGUAAAGCCCUUUUGUUGGGAAAGAAAAGCAGCAGGUUAAUACCCCGCUGUUCUGACGGUACCCAAAGAAUAAGCACCGGCUAACUUCG
rnacentral:rRNA from 1 species